AACCGAGUAACGCCUACCCUCGCCGCCGCGUAUUCACGGCAAUUGCAAGCAGCGCACGCUGUGCAAUGACUUCCGCCAGCGACGACUGCUUGCGCAUGUCGAACGCCGCGUCGGCCAGUUGCGCCAUGACCCGGGCCAUACGCUCGGAACUGGUGUUGCGCAGCGCCGUUUCGACCAGAGUCUUGCGCGAAAAGUGCAGCCGCGGAAAUCCGCUGUCGAGCGCCUCAAGUUCGCUGCGGCCCUCUUCGAUCG
rnacentral:misc_RNA from 1 species